rnacentral:rRNA from 1 species
AGAGUUUGAUCCUGGCUCAGGACGAACGCUGGCGGCGCGCCUAACACAUGCAAGUCGAACGAGAGAGAGGGAGCUUGCUUCCUCAAUCGAGUGGCGAACGGGUGAGUAACGCGUGAGGAACCUGCCUCAAAGAGGGGGACAACAGUUGGAAACGACUGCUAAUACCGCAUAAGCCCACAGGUCGGCAUCGACCAGAGGGAAAAGGAGCAAUCCGCUUUGAGAUGGCCUCGCGUCCGAUUAGCUAGUUGGUGAGGUAAUGGCCCACCAAGGCAACGAUCGGUAGCCGGACUGAGAGGUUGAACGGCCACAUUGGGACUGAGACACGGCCCAGACUCCUACGGGAGGCAGCAGUGGGGAAUAUUGCACAAUGGGGGAAACCCUGAUGCAGCGACGCCGCGUGGAGGAAGAAGGUCUUCGGAUUGUAAACUCCUGUUGUUGAGGAAGAUAAUGACGGUACUCAACAAGGAAGUGACGGCUAACUACGUGCCAGCAGCCGCGGUAAAACGUAGGUCACAAGCGUUGUCCGGAAUUACUGGGUGUAAAGGGAGCGCAGGCGGGAAGACAAGUUGGAAGUGAAAUCUAUGGGCUCAACCCAUAAACUGCUUUCAAAACUGUUUUUCUUGAGUAGUGCAGAGGUAGGCGGAAUUCCCGGUGUAGCGGUGGAAUGCGUAGAUAUCGGGAGGAACACCAGUGGCGAAGGCGGCCUACUGGGCACCAACUGACGCUGAGGCUCGAAAGUGUGGGUAGCAAACAGGAUUAGGUACCCUGGUAGUCCACACCGUAAACGAUGAUUACUAGGUGUUAGAGGAUUGACCCCUUCAGUGCCGCAGUUAACACAAUAAGUAAUCCACCUGGGGAGUACGACCGCAAGGUUGAAACUCAAAGGAAUUGACGGGGGCCCGCACAAGCAGUGGAGUAUGUGGUUUAAUUCGACGCAACGCGAAGAACCUUACCAAGUCUUGACAUCCUGCGACGAUGCUGGAAACAGUAUUUUCCUUCGGGACGCAGAGACAGGUGGUGCAUGGUUGUCGUCAGCUCGUGUCGUGAGAUGUUGGGUUAAGUCCCGCAACGAGCGCAACCCUUACUGUCAGUUACUACGCAAGAGGACUCUGGCAGGACUGCCGUUGACAAAACGGAGGAAGGUGGGGAUGACGUCGAAUCAUCAUGCCCCUUAUGAUCUGGGCUACACACGUGCUACAAUGGCGUAAACAAAGGGAGGCAAAGCCGCGAGGUGGAGCAAAUCCCAAAAAUAACGUCUCAGUUCGGACUGCAGUCUGCAACUCGACUGCACGAAGCUGGAAUCGCUAGUAAUCGCGAAUCAGAAUGUCGCGGUGAAUACGUUCCCGGGUCUUGUACACACCGCCCGUCACACCAUGGGAGUUGGUA